UACGUAGGGUGCAAGCGUUAAUCGGAAUUACUGGGCGUAAAGCGUGCGCAGGCGGUUCGGAAAGAAAGAUGUGAAAUCCCAGAGCUUAACUUUGGAACUGCAUUUUUAACUGCCGAGCUAGAGUAUGUCAGAGGGGGGUAGAAUUCCACGUGUAGCAGUGAAAUGCGUAGAGAUGUGGAGGAAUACCGAUGGCGAAGGCAGCCCCCUGGGAUAAUACUGACGCUCAUGCACGAAAGCGUGGGGAGCAAACAGG
rnacentral:rRNA from 1 species